CAAGACAGGAAGUAAGCAUUUUCACGUGGGAGAAGAUAUGAAAUUAUAAAAAAAUGGAGGAGUGUACAACAGCGUCACACUGCUGAAGGAAACAAAAGGAGGAGAACUCAAGCAGGUGAAAGAGUAUGUGUGAAGUCUGAUAGAGAAAUAAGCAGAUGUGAAAAACAUUUGAAACUCCACAAAUCAGCAUGCCUUACUUAUAUUACUUUAAGUCAGUCUAAAUCUAAAUUUAUAAUACGGAAAAAGAAUACAUGACAUUUCAGAAUUGCUUUUGAAAAUGCUACUUUGAAGGUACUUUUACUACAAGUGCAUUGAAGUGCGCAUAACCCGUGAGUAUAGAGAUAAAGGACGUUUAAAGGUGAGAGAAGAGAAGUCUGACCGAAGAUUUGUAGCGAUGGCGAACAGUUGGACAUUGACGGUGGUCGUCCUCCUGAGUAUCUUUGUGGCAAAAAGUCAGACAAGAGAUUUCCAAGAGCAGACCUUUACUUCGGGCAGCGAUGUGACUUUACGAUGUGGCAAUGGCACUGUUGUCAAGUGGAAUGAAUUAAUUUAUAUCGUCUGGAACAUUAGCCUGCAAGACAGAAAAUGUCGGCUUGGUUUGUCACCCAAGCUGGACGACACAUGCAAAGAUGGAAAGAAGCUGUACAACACUUCAGAUGGAGUUUCCAUAUUCAUUCCCAAGAUUUCAAUAGAAGAUGAAGGAUCUUACUUUUGUGAUGUAUCAUAUAAAGGAGGAAGCUAUGCACUAAAUGUGACUGUAAGCGUUACCAACGUUUCCACCUGGCAGUACAAAGAAAACAAUCAAAGGAUUGCUGUCUGUAAAUCUACAUAUAAAAUGAAAGCGCCCACUCUUCAUUGGGAACCUGCCUUGAACUUUUCCUCCAACAUCAGUUCUGUCAAGAAGCUUGGCAAGUUUUUUAUGCUGGAGAAUCAAGUAUAUCUGCCGGAAAAUCUCAACAUCAGUGAGCUCACUUGUGUGGCCACAUACACCUCUGAGUCCGGCCCUGUGCAGGACAAGAGCACACUUAUUACAGGUUCACAAAACUCAAAUCCCCCAUCUCCUUGGAGAGAUAUUGGCAUAUCAGUUGGCUCUGUUUGUCUUGCUCUUGUAGCCCUGGUCGUGUUUUACAAACUACGCAGAAAGAUUUAUGACUUGAGUGGAUUGAAGAUGCUUUGCUGCAAAUCCAAAAUCUCAACACCAGCUGAAGACAAACCAACCCCGCCCGCUGAUGUUGAAGAGGUGGAACCCUAUGCAAGUUACAUACAGAGAGUCAAUUCUAUCUACAACUCCUCAGCUGAACUCUUCAACGCUUGAGAGACACUCACUUUUCAUGAUGAAACAGGAUACCAGAAGAGAACCGAGGGCAAAGAUAUGCCUGUGGUCAAAAUUACACAUGAAAAACAAUACUAGUGGAAAAUAGUCAUCUCAAGAGAGCAUCCCCAAAGCAAACAGCGCCUGACUGAGGAGCAAAAGUCACACUGAGUCAAAAGAUGAAAGGUGAUGACAAAGAAACAUUUGUCUUAGUAUGUAAUGAGCAAUAACUGGGACAUCUUCAGCGUCAGCGAUAUCACUUAUACUGUAUGUAGAUUUGUAGAGAAAGAACUUGGUUAGAUAUUAAUAAUUUGAACAAAUCAAAUUUGUACAUAUUUAUAUCAGAGUGAAUCAAAAAUCAAAAAGCAGGCCUAAAGUGUAAAGAACCUAUUUUACAUUGCACAUAAUUAAAAGUAUGUAAAUAAACUUAUUGUACUUUUCA
ensembl:lncRNA